rnacentral:misc_RNA from 1 species
GAUGAAGAACGCAGCGAAAUGCGAUAAGUAAUGUGAAUUGCAGAAUUCAGUGAAUCAUCGAAUCUUUGAACGCACCUUGCGCCCCUUGGCCAUUCCGAAGGGCAUGCCUGUUUGAGUAUCAUGAACACCUCAACUCUUCAUGGUUUUCCAUGAUGAGCUUGGACUUUGGGGGUCUUGCUGGCCUGUGGGUCGGCUCCUCUCAAAUGAAUCAGCUUGCCGGUUUUUGGUGGGCAUCACAGGUGUGAUAACUAUCUACGCUUGUGGUUUUCCACCAGGGUAACCUUCAGCAGUGGAGGUUCACUGGAGCUUACAAAUGUCUCUCCUCUGUGAGGACAGCCCUUUGAAUGUUUGAUCUCAAAUCAGGUAGGACUACCCGCUGAACUUAAGCAUAUCAAUAAGCGGAGGA